rnacentral:rRNA from 1 species
UACGUAGGGUGCGAGCGUUAAUCGGAAUUACUGGGCGUAAAGUGUGCGCAGGCGGCGUCGCAAGUCGAGUGUGAAAGCCCCGAGCUUAACUUGGGAAUUGCGCUCGAAACUACGAUGCUGGAGUAUGGCAGAGGAAGGUGGAAUUCCACGUGUAGCGGUGAAAUGCGUAGAGAUGUGGAGGAACACCGAUGGCGAAGGCAGCCUUCUGGGCCAAUACUGACGCUCAUGCACGAAAGCGUGGGGAGCAAACGGG